UGGGGAAUAUUGCACAAUGGACGAAAGUCUGAUGCAGCAACGCCGCGUGGAGGAUGACACAUUUCGGUGCGUAAACUCCUUUUAUGUGAGAAGAUAAUGACGGUAUCACAUGAAUAAGCACCGGCUAACUCCGUGCCAGCAGCCGCGGUAAUACGGAGGGUGCAAGCGUUACUCGGAAUCACUGGGCGUAAAGCGCGCGCAGGCGGCUUUGUAAGUUGGAUGUGAAAUCCUAUGGCUCAACCAUAGAACUGCAUCCAAAACUACUUAGCUAGAGUCUGGGAGGGGAAGAUGGAAUUAGUGGUGUAGGGGGGUAAAAAUCCGUAGAGAUCACUAGGAAUACCAAAAGCGAAGGCGAUCUUCUGGAACAGUACUGACGCUGAGGCGCGAAAGCGUGGGGAGCAAACA
rnacentral:rRNA from 1 species